UCUCCGUUUUACGGCGAAUUGUAAUCUUGAGUGGUCAUGCUCAACGGGAGGCGGCGCAGAAGUGUCCUUGAACGGACCGCCAUAGAGGGUGAUAGCCCCGUACGUGGUGCCGCAGCCUAACGAGCUGGCUUACAAAGAGUCGGGUUCUUUGGUAUUGGAGCCCUAAGCGGGAGAUAAACUUCUUCUAAGGCUAAAUAUAUGUGGGAAACCGAUAGCGAACAAGUACUGUGAAGGAAAGAUGAAAAGCACUUUGGAAAGAGAGUCAAAAGACCUGAAACCGUUGAGGAGGAAGCGGUGGAGAUGAAUCCUACAGCGAGGCACGGGGGAGUCGGCCCAACCACGGCGGUCUUGUCGUUCGUCAAAGGCGGCGGGUUGUCUGUGGGGAAGCCGGUGACUUGUGCGGCGUUGUGAGGCCGGAUGGGGUGACGUGAUCACAGAGGCCUGCUUGGCCUGGCUCAACUUGUUGGGCAGCCUGGAAGUGCCGGUGAUUGCGUGGCCUGAGGGUGCUUUGUGCGAUCCGGUCAAAAUGGUCUUUACCGACUCGUCUUGAAACACGAACCAAGGAGUCUA
rnacentral:rRNA from 1 species